ensembl:lncRNA
AUGACGCAGAACAGCGAGGUGGAAACGUGUCACGUCCCUCGCAGGACAGGAGGUCUGUUUCUGUCUUUGGUUAUCUAGCUGUAUGAGUUUUAAAUCCCUGUCAUAAAGCUAGAUAACCGAAAGUAGAAAUGACUUCCAUUACUGACGUCUACAGACUGCAAGAGGAUUGAUGCUGUCUCCAAAAGGCUAACACCAGAGAAGCUACAGGCCCUUAUUUUGGCGGUACCCGUUGAGGACGGCGGCCCACGCGGGGAGCACGUGGUGCUGAAUAUUAAACAGGCGCCCCGCUGGGAGGAAAAAGAGCGCGCGGACUGCUUGUCAACGAGGGAGAGAAUUCAUUUUUCAUCACCUCGCUUCUCUAUUUUAGUAUUGUGAAAUCAUUUGUUAACAAAUUAACACACACAAAUAUUAUCUUUAAAAAAAAAAGCAACCAAUUAGCCCACGUUUUUUGUCAAAGAUGGUUGACUUAAAUAUCCGUUUUUUAUGGUAGAUAAUACGAGGAGAAGUGAAAAAAAACUGAGAUUAAGCACCUCCACGAUGGGCCUUUACAACACAAACUGCUGAGUGGUUGCUGAAGGAGCUCAGACACUCAGGGUUAAGAAAAACACUCGGCGCCUUCAUUUAUAGUCGUCGCCGGUUGUGCGAGGCGUUCUCCCCGAUGCAUUGUGUCUCGUUUCAAUGGUGGGACUCAGGGGCAGAGCCCAGAGACAGGGUCUGAGCCCUCCAACAGGGCACUCAGCGGCCUUGGUUCUCCUGGGGGCCAGAGAAUGCGGUCCUGAUUGGGGAGAGUGAGGAGGGCUAAAGUAAAGAGAUGAGUUUCCAUUCACCCAGUUAACUAGCUUCUGCAGCCUCUGCGUACGGAGGCUAAUUGCUUUAAUUCAGAGGAAGACACUGAAUAUAUAUGAACAGAGCUAGCGUGUUGUUGGGUGGUCUUUACCCCGGGAUGGUGCAAUGCAACGCAUGUUUCUUGUUAAAAUAUCUAAACAGGACAAGCAAAUGGAUGCCCACCUUCUCUUGUACUUUAUGAAGAGGAAUUAUGUUGUGUGUUUUUAUUGUUUCGAUAUGUCUAGAUGUUGCGUGCCUUCCCUACACACUCCCCC